UCUAUGUAAACCAAUAUGGCGGCAGGGAAAACACGUUGUGAUUAGUAAAGCACUCUCCGUGUUAUGGCCAGUUGUUUUAAAGGUUUGAGUGACAGUCUGAAUGACCUUAGGUGUCUGACCAGGACACUGCAACUGCUAUUUCAAGAUGAUGAUCUGAAAACUUGGGACAAACAGUGGGUGACCAGUUGCAGGCUCAUCGCAGAAAUGUCUUCUGAUGUGACUUGAAUUUGACCUCCAUCAGAGUGUCGUACCAAACUUGCCAGGUCAAAAACUAUAUAACUACCAACAAAAAACGUCCUGACCAAAGUGGACAAAUAAAACCUUGACCUGACCCUGAUGCUAAACAUUCAAUCUGAGUCAUCUAAAUACUUGUUUAGCACAUGCAAGGAUAUGAGGCUCCUUCCAAGAUUUUUAUAAGAUAAAAAAGAUCAUCAGGAGAUGAAGUGAGAAAACAAGCAAAAAAGUGUGGAGCUCAACAAAGUUUCUUAAAUCACAAAUAUACAAUGCACAUGGUUACAUAUAUUUGUAUUGGAAUGUUUUAUAGAAAGUUGUAAGAAUGUUGACAAUGUUUGUCAUUUGAUCACUCCUGUAGUGUAGAACUAGAGAGUGUUACCAACAGUGAGUUGAUAAGUUUGGAUGGGGGUGUUUAACUGAUGGAUAUCAUAAAGAAUUUUGGACAAGAUCCAGCAUCUUGUGGAAUCUCAAAUUACCCCCCUUGUAUUAGGCCUUUUGUUCUACUAGCACUUCUUUCAAAAAGAGAGAGAGGAUUAUCUAGAUUUUAUCACAAAUAUAUCUCUCUGGAAUAAUUUGUAUCUCUGACACUAAGGUUUGCUGGAAGGAAUGGUAGAAAGGAGCAUCUGUACUUAGGUAUUUUUGUGGAUCUUGAAGCUGGUUGGUGGAGGAAAGUUGAACUGGCAUCUGAUAGUGACACAGUGUUAAGAUACCACAGACACUAUCCUUGUCUUGUAAAUCUUACAAAGCCCAAAAUUUAUCAGAACCAGGAAUAAUUUGAUUACGCACAUGUUAAUUGUUUCUUAAUGUGUAUUAGUAUCUGGGUACAUUAGUAAAUAGAUGUGGAUUUACCAGACCAACUGACUCAAUAAAUGUGUAUAUAUUUCCAUUAAA